UACAGAGGUCCCGAGCGUUGUUCGGAUUCACUGGGCGUAAAGGGUGCGUAGGUGGUGAGGUAAGUCGGAUGUGAAAUCUCCGGGCUUAACCCGGAAAUGGCAUUGGAAACUACCUUGCUAGAGGAUUUGAGGGGGGAUUGGAAUACUUGGUGUAGCAGUGAAAUGCGUAGAUAUCAAGUGGAACACCAGUGGCGAAGGCGGCUCACUGGCUCGAUACUGACGCUGAGGUGCGAAAGCGUGGGGAGCAAACAGG
rnacentral:rRNA from 1 species